AACGCACAUUGCGCCCCCUAGUAUUCUAGAGGGCAUGCCUGUCCGAGCGUCAUUUCACCCCUCAAGCGCUGUUUUGCUUGGAGUUGGGGCCUUGCGGCGAGCACUUAGUGCUUUUGCAAGCCCUGAAAUUCAGCGGCGAGCCCGCCAGCACACCGAGCGCAGUAAGACUACUUUCCGCUCAGGGCGUGCGGCGCGGCGCGGCCGACUUUUUAUAAACUUUUCUGAAAGUUGACCUCGGAUCAGGUAGGACUACCCGCUGAACUUAA
rnacentral:misc_RNA from 1 species